rnacentral:lncRNA from 1 species
UUCUAGGGUUUUUAUGGUUUUAGGUCUAACAUUUAAGUCUCUAAUUCAUCUUGAAUUAAUUUUCGUAUAAGGAGUAAGGAAAGGAUCCAGUUUCAGCUUUCUACUUAUGGCUAGCCAAUUUUCCCAGCACCAUUUAUUAAAUAGGGAAUCCUUUCCCCAUUUCUUGUUUUUCUCAGGUUUAUCAAAGAUCAGAUGGCUGUAGAUGUGUAGUAUUAUUUCUAGGGGCUCUGUUCUGUUCCAUUGGUCUAUAUCUGUGUUUUGGUACCAGUACCAUGCUGUUUUGGUUACUGUAGCCUUGUAGUAUAGUUUGAAGUCAGGUAGUGUGAUGCCUCCAGCUUUGUUCUUUUGACUUAGGAUUGUCUUGGCAAUGUGGGCUCUUUUUUUGGUUCCAUAUGAACUUUAAAGCAGUUUUUUCCAAUUCUGUGAAGAAACUCAUUGGUAGCUUAAUGGGGAUGGCAUUGAAUCUAUAAAUUACCUUGGGCAGUAUGGCCAUUUUCACGAUAUGACCCAGCCAUCCCAUUACUGGGUAUAUACCCAAAGGAUUAUAAAUCAUGCUAGUAUAAAGAUACAUGCACACGUAUUUUUAGUGCAGCCCUAUUCACAAUAGCAAAGACUUGGAACCAACCCAAAUGUCCAUCAAUGAUAAACGGGAUUAAGUAAAUGUGGCACAUAUACACCAUGGAAUACUAUGCAGUCAUAAAAAAGGAUGAGUUCAUAUCCUUUGUAGCGACAUAGAUGAAGCUGGAAACCAUCAUUCUGAGCAAACUAUCGCAAGGACAGAAAACCAAACACCACAUGUUCUCACUCAUAGGUGGUAAUUGAACAAUGAGAACACUUGGACACAGGAAGGGGAACAUCACACACCAGGGCCUGUCACGGGGUGUGGGAAGGGGGUAGGGAUAGCAUUAGGAGAAAUACCUAAUGUAAAUGACAAGUUAAUGGGUGCAGCACACCAACAUGGCACAUGUAUACAUAUGUAACAAACCUGCAUGUUGUGCACAUGUACCCUAGAACUUCAAGUAUAAUAAAAAAUAAAAUAAAAUAAAAGAUAAUUCUGAUAGAAAAAAUAGUCAUAUUCUU